ACUCAAUAGAUACCCGGGUAGUCCACGCCGUAAACGAUGAGUGCUAAGUGUUAGAGGGUUUCCGCCCUUUAGUGCUGCAGCUAAACGCAUUAAGCACUCCGCCUGGGGAGUACGGUCGCAAGACUGAAACUCAAAGGAAUUGACGGGGGCCCGCACAAGCGGUGGAGCAUGUGGUUUAAUUCGAAGCAACGCGAAGAACCUUACCAGGUCUUGACAUCCUCUGACAACUCUAGAGAUAGAGUGUUCCCCUUCGGGGGACAGAGUGACAGGUGGUGCAUGGUUGUCGUCAGCUCGUGUCGUGAGAUGUUGGGUUAAGUCCCGCAACGAGCGCAACCCUUGAUCUUAGUUGCCAGCAUUUAGUUGGGCACUCUAAGGUGACUGCCGGUGACAAACCGGAGGAAGGUGGGGAUGACGUCAAAUCAUCAUGCCCCUUAUGACCUGGGCUACACACGUGCUACAAUGGAUGGUACAAAGGGCUGCAAGACCGCGAGGUCAAGCCAAUCCCAU
rnacentral:rRNA from 1 species